rnacentral:misc_RNA from 1 species
GAGAGCGGUGAGCUUGAUCUCUUGAUUUCUUGCUCCGGAAACGCGACGAAACCCCACCGGAAAUUCAAUUAACGACAAACUAGGGUUUAGGGUUUCCCUUCUAAUCAUUCACUCCUUUCAUCAAUGGCGACCGAGUUAGCGAUCAACACAGACAGAACCCAGAAAUUCAUCGACGACCUUGAGGCCCAAAGGACCAUUCUAUCUUCCUGCACCCAACUAUUCACUACCCUCACUACUAAUUUCACUUCCCUCCAAAACUCCCUAUCCCAGAAAUCCCAAUCCCUCGAUUCCAAAUUUCAAUCCUUAGAAUCCAAAUCCCAGCAAACUCUCCAAUCCCUUUCUCAGAGGUUAACCUCCAUUCCUGAACGGGAGUCCGCCGCUGCAGCCAAAGUCGAGGAGCAAAAGGGGAAUGCCUUGGCGGAGUUUGAAAAGCCCAAAAGAUUCGACAAGUUGUCGGAUUGGUUGAAGUCUAUUUCUCGAAAGAUGGAUUCUUCCGGAUUGUUGAAGUUUGUAAUUUCCAAACGGAAGGAAUCAGUGUCUUUGCGGGCGGAGAUUUCCUCUGCGAUAAUGGAGGCGGUGGAUCCUGCGAGGUUAAUUUUGGAUGCCGUCGAUGAGUUUGUGAGUAAUAAAAUUGAGAAAGUUGGGGUUACUGACAAGCGGUGGGCCUGCGGAAUGCUGGUGCAGGCGCUUUUUCCGGAGGGUAGUUACUUUGGCGGGAAACAGAAAGGACCUGAAUUUGCACGGACUGUGGUUGAGAGGGCAGGAAGAAUUUUGGAAAUAUGGAAGGAGGAGCAAGUUGAUGAGAAGGAAGGAGGUGGCAGUGGUGGAGGUGGAGUUGCGGGACCUGCGGAGGCAGUCAUGUUCUUGCAGAUGAUGCUGGGAUUUGGUUUGAAGUCGAGGUUUGAUGAGGAGUUCUUGAGGAAGCUUGUGAUGGAGAAUGCAGCGAGAAGGGACAUGGCAAAGCUUGCAGUGGCUAUUGGUUUUGGAGAGAAAAUGGAAGAAAUGAUAGAUGAAUUGGUCAAAAAUGGGAAGGAGAUGGAGGCUGUGUAUUUUGCUUCUGAAUCAGGUUUGACUGAAAGAUUUCCUCCUGUUUCUCUGCUCAAGUCUCACAUUAAGAACUCCAAGAAGAAUACAUCCAAUAUCUUGAAGAAUGGCAAUUUUAGUGCAGCUGCAACGGUGUGUUAAUAUGAAUUUAUGUUGUAUAAUUUUCAUCAACCUGAAACAUUGUGGUCUGCCAAAUUUCAUACUUAAUCAAUUGAAUUUUCAGGAGGAGUCAAAUUCAGUGGAGCUGAAUUCUAUUAGAGCUGUCAUCAAAUGCGUUGAAGAUCACAAGCUUGAAUUGGACUUUCCUCUUGAUAACUUAAGGAAGCGGGCUUCUAGGCUGGAGAAAACCAAGGCAGAGAGGAAGAAAAGUUCAGCAACAGCAGUUGCUAAGUCUCAAAAUAAGCGGGGCCAUGGUGGUAGUGGUGGACCUAGUGGCCGAGGAAACAGGCCACCUGCUUUUCGUCCUUCCAAAGCUGCUAAAUUUUCAAAUGCCUAUUCCCCUUUUGGUCGUCGGAACCCUGCUCCACCACCACAGCAUAGCCCAGCUGCAAGAUAUUCAGGGCCAUAUGAUUACCCUAGCCAGGGUGUCUACGAAAGCCACUCAGCUGCCCCUUAUGCAGCAACUUAUGGCGCAUCCCACAGUCAAAGCCCUGCUGCAAUUCCUCAACAACACUAUUCACUUCCUGUGGACAAUGCAGGUGGUGCUGCUUUCCGUGCAAGUGGUUCUUAUGGGGGACAGGCCAAUUAUGGUGCAUAUGAUUAUGGCACAGGUACACCGCCUACAUACCAGCCUUCAUCGUACACACAAUAAUGGGGAAUGUGGACCAGUCAGAUGAUCAGUGGUGCUAUAAUGCUCAAAAGAAGCGGGGCCAUGGUGCUAAUGGUGAAUCUGAUUUCCUUUAUUGAUUUGUUUUAAGUCAUCCUUUUUUCUGUAUGUUUUCAAUCAUCUUACCAUGUUUUAGUUUUCAAAAUCGUUGUAGUCUAUUUGAAAAUACUUUUGUAUCUUGUCCAUUUGGUAGUGGUAUAUACUUCGAAGAAAGACCAGUUACAACUAAAGAAUCACAAUGUUACCCGAAAAGCGCCCUUGCCACCAAAGUUGUAAUA